UACAGAUCAAACGUUGUAUGAGCAAGAGGAAUACAAAGGAUUAUAUUGAGAAUUCUUUAGGGCUUGCAAAAAGAUGUCCAGAAUUUAAAUAAAAGCUUUAUAUGCAUAUGAGAGCGAUCCAAACCAGAAAAAGGAAUGUCUGAAUAAACUCCAUGUCAAGAAAAGAUGUUAUCUAUAAAAUAAUGCUGGAAGUUAAAAUGCUAGCAGCUCUGCUGCAUAAACAAUUUUUUGAUAUUGGUAGCAGACACUUGAAUUGAAUUUGGUGCAUCUUUCAGAACAAAAUUAGGCAACUCCAUGAUUUGUAUAAUUGAUUGAUAAAAUCGAAGACAUAUCCAGGU